CACGUAGGGCGCAAGCGUUGUCCGGAAUUAUUGGGCGUAAAGAGCUCGUAGGCGGUCUGUUGCGUCCGCUGUGAAAACUCGGGGCUUAACCCCGAGCCUGCAGUGGAUACGGGCAGACUAGAGGUAGGUAGGGGAGAAUGGAAUUCCCGGUGUAGCGGUGAAAUGCGCAGAUAUCGGGAGGAACACCGGUGGCGAAGGCGGCUAUCUGGACCGACAUUGACGCUGAGGCGCGAAAGCGUGGGGAGCAAACAGG
rnacentral:rRNA from 1 species